UAGCCCAAACCAAUAAAGUUUUCUUUAUUGGGGUUGCGGACAUAUCUUAAACGAAGAGGUAUCGUAAUUGAAGAGGUUUGGAAAGACCCACCACAGAAGGUAAUAGUCCUGUAUGUCAAACGAGAAAACUUCAGAUAUGAUCCAGAGUACCACGGGACACGUGAAACCCUGUGGGAAGCAGGAGGGACCACCCUCCAAGGCUAAAUACUACCUA
rnacentral:rRNA from 1 species